rnacentral:rRNA from 1 species
GCCGCGGUAAUUCCAGCUCCAAUAGCGUAUAUUAAAGUUGUUGCAGUUAAAAAGCUCGUAGUUGAAACUUGGGCCUGGCUGGCAGGUCCGCCUCACCGCGUGUACUUGUCCGGCCGGGCCUUUCCUUCUGGAGAACCUCAUGCCCUUCACUGGGUGUGUUGGGGAACCAGGACUUUUACUUUGAAAAAAUUAGAGUGUUCAAAGCAGGCCUUUGCUCGAAUACGUUAGCAUGGAAUAAUAGAAUAGGACGUGCGGUCCUAUUUUGUUGGUUUCUAGGACCGCCGUAAUGAUUAAUAGGGACAGUCGGGGGCAUCAGUAUUCAAUUGUCAGAGGUGAAAUUCUUGGAUUUAUUGAAGACUAACUACUGCGAAAGCAUUUGCCAAGGAUGUUUUCAUUAAUCAGUGAACGAAAGUUAGGGGAUCGAAGACGAUCAGAUACCGUCGUAGUCUUAACCGUAAACUAUGCCGACUAGGGAUCGGGCGAUGUUCUUUUUCUGACUCGCUCGGCACCUUACGAGAAAUCAAAGUUUUUGGGUUCUGGGGGGAGUAUGGUCGCAAGGCUGAAACUUAAAGAAAUUG